rfam:Ancylostoma duodenale strain Zhejiang A_duodenale-1.0_Cont14877.1, whole genome shotgun sequence.
ACAUAAACCUGGCUGGGGGCGUCUCGCGAUCAACAAGGCGGACCCCCCUGGUGAGGCCCGCGCAUUGCGCUUUCGCCCGGGCUGACCCGUGUGGCAGUCUUGAACUGAGAUUCGCCAACAGCUAAAUUUUUGUGUGUGGGGCUGCGUUCGCGCGGCCCUGA